ACGACUCUCGGCAACGGAUAUCUCGGCUCUCGCAUCGAUGAAGAACGUAGCGAAAUGCGAUACUUGGUGUGAAUUGCAGAAUCCCGUGAACCAUCGAGUUUUUGAACGCAAGUUGCGCCCAAAGCCGUCAGGCCAAGGGCACGUCUGCCUGGGUGUCACUCA
rnacentral:rRNA from 5 species